rnacentral:misc_RNA from 1 species
GAUGAAGAACGUAGCGAAAUGCGAUAAGUAAUGCGAAUUGCAGAAUUUCCGUGAGUCAUCGAAUCUUUGAACGCACAUUGCGCCCCCUGGUAUUCCGGGGGGCAUGCCUGUCCGAGCGUCAUUGCAACCUUCAAGCGCGGCUUGUGUGUUGGGUCUCGUCCCCCGUGGACGGGCCCGAAAGGCAGUGGCGGCGUCCCGACAUGGUGCCCGAGCGUAUGGGAAUCCUCUUCCGCUCGAAUCGGCCCAUGCGGCGCUGGUCGUAACCAAAUUUUUUACCGGUUGACCUCGGAUCAGGUAGGGAUACCCGCUGAACUUAAGCAUAUCAAUAAGCGGAGGA